rnacentral:pre_miRNA from 15 species
UCUCUGUCUCUGGUGUCGCGCCAGUGGUUUUACCCUAUGGUAGGUUACGUCAUGCUGUUCUACCACAGGGUAGAACCACGGACGGGAUGUUUGGAGGUG